rnacentral:lncRNA from 10 species
AAAAUUUCUUCACAGCACCUACGUAUUUACAACAUAAGAAAAACUCAAGUCUGACAAUCCAAUGACAAAAAACACUCCACGCGUAGGCAUGCCAGGCAGAAGGCUGAAUAUCAGGAGUGUUGCGGGAAGUCAGGGACCCCAAACGGAGGGACCAGCUGAAGCCAUGACAGAAGAAUGUGGAUUGUGAAGAUUUUAUGGACAUUUAUUAGUUCCCCAAAUUAAUACUUUUGUAAUUUCUUAUGCCUGUCUUUACUGCAAUCUCUAAACAUAAAUUGUAAAGAUUUCAUGGACACUUAUCACUUCCCCAAUCAAUAUCCUUGUGAUUUCCUAUGCCUGUCUUUGCUUUAAUGUCUUAAUCCUGUCAGCCGAGAAGGAUGUAUAUCAUCUCAGGACCCUGUAAUAAUUGCGUUAACUACACAAAUUGUACAGCAUGUGUGUUUGAGCAAUAUGAAAUGUGGGCACCCUGAAAAAAGAACAAGAUAAGAGCAAUUGUUCAGGGAAUAAGAGAGAUAACCUUAAACUCUGACCGCCGGUGAGCUGGGCAGAACAGAGCCAUAUUUCUCUUCUUUCAAAAGCAAAUGGGAGAAAUAUCGCUGAAUUCUUUUUCUCAGCAUGGAACGUCCCUGAGAAAGGGAAUGCGCACCUAGGGGUAGGUCUCUGAACUGGUCCCCCCAGGGCGUACCUGUCUCUUAUGGUCAAGAUUGCAGAGGUGAAAUAAACUCCAGUCUCCC